GGGGUUGUGGCUCAGCAGUAGAGCACUCACCUAGCAUGUGUAAGGCCCUGGGUUCAAUCCUCAGCACCA
rnacentral:tRNA from 1 species